GCGCCGCUAGUGUAAUGGAUAGCACAUGAGAUUCCGGUUCUCAGAAUGAGGGUUCGACUCCCCCGUGGCGCA
rfam:Lactobacillus equi DPC 6820 NODE_57, whole genome shotgun sequence.